rnacentral:lncRNA from 1 species
UCCACCCUAUGUACAAGAAAGAGUAUAAUAGGAAUAAAAAUUAAAAAUAAGAACAAAUUAAAAGAUAAUGAAAAAUCUUCAAAAUCAUGGUAUCUUCAAAAUCAUUUUUUAAGGCAACUCCUUUCAAAAUUUUAGAAGUAUGAGAUACGAGAUGAAAAAGAUGCAUAGAAAAAAUGAUGUUUUUAAUUUUUUUUUGACAAAAUGAUAAAAAUAUAGAUCAGGUAGAUGUCUUGGAAAGAUAAACAUUUAGACUUUA